GGAAUUUAGCUCAGUGGUAGAGCAUAUGCCUAGCAAGCACAAGGCCCUGGGUUCGGUCCCCAGCUCCG
rnacentral:tRNA from 1 species